AAAAUACACUUCAUUUAAGUAAAUAUUUCACAAUGAACUCACAAGUGUAGGUAAUGUACUACAUGAGGGGCAAGUUUUUCACUAACAAAAGCAGCAUCUCUAGCCCAAUGAGUGGACUCUGAUAGUAAUUCUUGCUUCAAGU
rnacentral:snoRNA from 1 species